rnacentral:rRNA from 1 species
GACGAACGCUGGCGGCGUGCUUAACACAUGCAAGUCGAACGAUGAAGCCGGAGCUUGCUCCGGUGGAUUAGUGGCGAACGGGUGAGUAACACGUGAGCAAUCUGCCCUUGACUCUGGGAUAACUGCGGGAAACUGUAGCUAAUACCGGAUACGACACCUUGGGGCAUCCCAGGGUGUGGAAAGAAUUUCGGUCAAGGAUGAGCUCGCGGCCUAUCAGCUAGUUGGUGAGGUAAUGGCUCACCAAGGCGACGACGGGUAGCCGGCCUGAGGGGGGGACCGGCCAAACUGGAACCGAGACACGGUCCAGACUCCUACGGGAGGCAGCAGUGGGGAAUAUUGCACAAUGGGCGAAAGCCUGAUGCAGCAACGCCGCGUGAGGGAUGAAGGCCUUCGGGUUGUAAACCUCUUUUAGCAGGGAAGAAGCGAAAGUGACGGUACCUGCAGAAAAAGCACCGGCUAACUACGUGCCAGCCGCCGCGGUAA